UUAGGUUUUCUUAUACCGUGCUGUCCCUCAAAUGGAACUCAAAGUGCUUUACAAAGGAGAUCAGGAUCAUUAUCCGCAUUUGAUGGCUGGGGAAACUGAGGCUCAGAGGCAAAGGUACUUGAAGGAAAGACUGGAUAUAUUUACCCAGAGGUAUCCUCUCAUAAGGAAAUGGCGGGCCAGUUACCUUCUCCAGAGGACACUCAAAGGAAGCUGUGUGUGAAUGAGACUCUGCUCCAGGAAUAAACAGGACUCCCUUCAUAGGCAGUCAGUGCCAAUGCUUAACCAGCAGUAGAGUGAUGUUGACACUGGUUCCGGAAAGCACAUCACACUGGCGUUUGGCUUCCUGUCCUGGAUCUCCUCUGCGUACAAAGUCAGAUGCAAGGUUUUGACACCUGAUCCAUACCUGGGGAAUCACUUCUGCAAGUGAUUAACAACCACUUCUGCAAGUAACUGUCAACCCCACCACAGUGCAAAUUCAUUUCAGUGUACCUUUCCUACCACCACCCACUGAAAGAGCAUGGAUGGAAACAGAUCUAUCCUUUUAGAAUCUGUGGAGUGCUCAGACACAUAGGAGCUGAUUCUGUGGGUGCUCUGGGGCUGGAGCACACAUGGAAAAAAAAAAGAUAGUGGGUGCUCAGCACCCAUUGGCGGCCCGCAUAGCACCUCCCACGUGCUACAAUCAGCUAUUCAGCAGUGAGCAGGAGGCUCGGAGAGGGAGGGGAAGGAGCAGAGGCAGGAAGAGGUAGGGGUUUGGAGAAAGGGGUGAGGUGAGGCCUGGAGUGGAACAGACACAGCAAGAGGCAGGACGGGGAUUGGGACUUGGGGGAAGGAGUGGAGCUAGGGCGGAGCCUGGGGCAGAGCAAGAGUUGAGCACCCCUCAGGAACAGAGGAGGUCAGCACCUACGCUCAGACACCAUGGUGAUCGCCAUGCCUGACUAGAAUAGAACACAGAAGUGCAAGGCACUCUUACUUCUUCCAUUGUAUAGGAUUGAUUCUGUUUGCACAUAACUCCCAAGCCCCUGCUAGCUUAGGUGAUAUAUACUGUAGGAGAAACGGGCGGGAGAAAUCUACAGCAACAGAAAAAUAAAUUGGAAGGUGUCUCCACUCAGAACAGCAGCAGGAGGAAAGGAGCAAUGGAUACAUCUUUAUCCAAAGGUUAUUUUACUCAUUGGAUAGUUAUUACUUUGAAAAAUUAAUGUAAUUUAAAAUCAAGCACUAGUGCAUCUACAUAGUUGUUUGUUUAUACAUUCCCUGGAUUGCUGGCCAAUGAGCUUUCAAAGAUAUGUUUAACUUUUAGUUCAUUGUUCCUUUAAAGUCACAGAGAAUAAAUAGAACUAAACCACCGCCAAUCUGGCAACAUUUUAUUCUUCUUUUGCCCUGAUCCUUUAUCAUCUCUGUCUUCUGGUACCAUUUCAACCCUGAAUCACAUCAAAUUCUUAAGAGACCCAGAAAAAUACCAAGAUGUGCCACAUAAUCUGACUAGAAUAUAUUUAAAGUUGUCUAUAGUUUCUUUUCAGAUCUAAUAGAAUAUAGACUUGUGAAAGAAAGGCUGAAAAAACAAAAAGGGAUGUUACCAGUGACUGAGGAAGAUAUUAAUUAGAUUGGCUUUCAGAUGUCUUCUGGGAGGUACAUAACCUUUCUUCUGACUCAGACAGUACUUAAAGAAAAGCAGAACAUUCUAUUCUCUCAGAGAGUAGGGAAUGGGAAAUUACUGAGGGCUUCCUUCAAUGCCAAAGUAGAAUUGAUGCCACUAGUCCCAAUUCUACUCUGUUACAUUUGUGCAGCCUCACUGACACAAUAUCUGUCCACCCCAAACAUUCAUGCAGCCUCAUUGACACAAUAUUUGUCCACCCCAAACAUUCAUGAGUCAGGUGGCAAACAUCAUGAGAUUGGCUUUAAAAGCCUGCAUUUAGGAUUCUUAUUGUCUUGUGUUUUUA